rnacentral:rRNA from 1 species
CACCGAGCCUAGAUCCUCAGAUGGUUGGAAUCAUUCAUAGAGUGUAAAGGCAUAAGGGAGCUUGACUGCGAGACCUACAAGUCGAGCAGGGUCGAAAGACGGACUUAGUGAUCCGGUGGUUCCGCAUGGAAGGGCCAUCGCUCAACGGAUAAAAGCUACCCCGGGGAUAACAGGCUUAUCUCCCCCAAGAGUUCACAUCGACGGGGAGGUUUGGCACCUCGAUGUCGGCUCAUCGCAUCCUGGGGCUGUAGUCGGUCCCAAGGGUUGGGCUGUUCGCCCAUUAAAGCGGUACGCUAGCUGGGUUCAGAACGUCGUGAGACAGUUCGGUCCCUAUCCGUCGUGGGCGUAGGAAAUUUGAGAGGAGCUGUCCUUAGUACGAGAGGACCGGGAU